UACAUAGGGUGCAAGCGUUGUCCGGAAUUAUUGGGCGUAAAGAGCUCGUAGGUCGUUUGUUACGUCGGAUGUGAAAACCUGAGGCUCAACCUCAGGCCUGCAUUCGAUACGGGCAAACUAGAGUUUGGUAGGGGAGACUGGAAUUCCUGGUGUAGCGGUGGAAUGCGCAGAUAUCAGGAGGAACACCAAUGGCGAAGGCAGGUCUCUGGGCCAAUACUGACACUGAGGAGCGAAAGUCUGGGGAG
rnacentral:rRNA from 1 species